ensembl:lncRNA novel transcript
ACACACAACACAGAAGACCAGAUCUCCUUAGCCUACACCAGAGAUUCUCAUGUGAGAAUUGCCCGAAUAUCUGCUUUAAUGAAUCCAAAAAGCUUAUCUGAUUUAAAAAUGAAGUUAAGAUGUCAAAGCCACUGUUGGAAUAGCAUGAGGAGUGCGAUUUGAUUCUGUGCAUCGAUAGACUCUGCAACCACGGAGUAGUCUUUUAACCUUUUUGAAAUUCGCAUGCACUAUGUCAAAAAGGGCUUUAUUACCAGGCUGACAUCUGGUGGUCCAGGGGAACAACAAGCAAUGCCUCCGAAUGUAAACCGAUUCACAAAUGCGGCUUUUUUUCCCAGUUUUCCCUUUGUCUUUUUGAAGUGCUUGAAAUUGCCACCAAACCAGUUAAUUACAUGGAAAUUCACAUAGAAUAACAAUUUAAACAGCAGAACAAUAAGGGUGAAGAAAGUGACCUUCACGUGAUGAAUUAUAUACAUAAGCAGACACUUCCAGCAGUUAGCAGCAGUCCAGAUGGCAAACACAGUGGGCAGAAGCAGGAACAAUUCAACUCUCCCCAUGCUUGGGAUUUAAAAAAACAACAACAAAAAAACCUCUCAAACACCUCCAAUUAAUUUACUAUGGUAUAUGCCACUAAUUACCAAAUCACAGAGGAACAGAGUGAUACACUGUCAGCCUUAUGAUGUUCAUGUUAUUUGUACAAUUUAUCCGUACAGAAAAAGGAAAAAGCACCUCUGAUUUUUCUCACAUUCAUCACUUAGCUACACCAUUCUAUAAUAUUUUGACCAAUGAAGAGUCUUAAUAAAUGGGCAUUUUGUGUUCA